UUGUGAGGUUAGGGUCUCUAAUGAUGGUAAAAAGGCACAAAAAAGAGUUAACAGUGGUUCAGCUGGUAUACCUUGUCCUGUUUGCUCUACCUG